rnacentral:tRNA from 2 species
GCGGAAGUAGUUCAGUGGUAGAACACCACCUUGCCAUGGUGGGGGUCGCGGGUUCGAAUCCCGUCUUCCGCUCCA